GGCCUACUCCAUAUUCUCCCGCGCUCUCGUGGAAUGUGCACGGUUUCCUUCAUCCUCCGUUAUCACCUACCAACGCCACGUUUGCAGAUCCCGAGUACAGGGGUGAGCUUCGCUACGUGGAUAUGGCCCAAGUCUUUGUCAAGGACAUUUGGCGUUCUAUGUAAGAAGACGAAUAAGGGGAGGAGAGGGAGGAGGAAGAAUAAAACGGCGAAGAAUAAGCAGGAGAAGAAAAUUAAGGGAGAAGAAAUGAGAAUUAAGAUGAAGAAAAGAAGAAAGGGAGGAGGAGCAGCAUCAAAAGUUGUGCUUCAGCCAAUCACUGUGCCACUGUCAACAGGCGAGAUCAACUGACUGAAUCGUUGCAACGAACACUUAAGAGCGAUAUACCAGCUCACCAACUCUACAGAAACUGGCUUCUUUCUGGCGAGAUCUAUGACACGUGACAUCAUUUGUUCGCCUUGUUCGCCAGUCAGUACUCCAUUUUAUUUGGUGUCUCAUGGAAUGUGCAAGGUUUCCUUCACUCUCUGUUAUCGCCUACAAGCGCCACGAUUACAGGACAUUUGACGUUCUAUGUAAGAAGACGAGGAAGGGGAGGAGGACAAGGAGGAAGGAGAAGAAGAAGACUAAAACGAAUAAGAACAUGGAGGAGAAGGGGGAGGAAAACUGUCAGCAAGCGAGAUCAACUGACUGAAUCGUUGUAACGAACACUUAAGAGCGAUAUAACAGCUCACCAGUUGUACAGAUCAGCUAGGUAUUGUGUAAACUCCUUUGUGGCUGUCAUUGCAACAAAUUAUCUCUACAGAUCUCGGCACAAUUAACGUGAUAACAUGCGUGAUAACGUGUUCAAAUUCUCCUCCCGUUUAUUAUUACGGUCCGGGGUAGUCUGUCUGUGGGUGGCGUGGAAAAAAACUAAACGUAGUGCAGUAUAACGCAAAUAGUUUAUCACAUCAUAAGUGAUUCGUACGUGGAAUUAUUGCUGUUGUUUUUGUUUACUAUAUGCACCUGUUGUUUGAAGAUAGAGAAUAUUUCCUAAAAGCUUAUUAUUGGUUUCGGUCCCUGACAAGUAUUGGAACAUAACGUAACGUAACGCAGCUUAAUGUAGCAUGAAAAACGUUUAAUAGUGAACUGAUACCUGAAUUAAUCUAUAACGCCAUGUUUAUAGUAGUCAAACAUUACUAUUAUCAUUAUUUAUUAUUAUUAUUAUUAUAUGUAACGCGCUCUGUUUCGAGUGGUGUGUAAGAGAAAGAGAGGGGGAGAGAGAGAGAGAGAGAGAGAGAGAGAGAGAGAGAGAGAGAGAGAGAGAGAGAGAGAGAGAGAGAGAGAGAGAGAGACAGAGUUGGAGAACGAAAAAGGAAGGUCGAGAGCGAGCGAUGGAUAGAUAAAAGAAAAACAGAAGAAGGCGACACGAGCAGUGAGACGAGAGAUGACGGAGAGACGAGAGGAAGGAUGGGGCGAAAGCUUGAGCUGUUAGAGGAAAAGCGAAUGGAAGGCGAAAGCGAUGGAAAUUGUAGAUAAAAAGGAUGAAAAGUGAAAGUAAGAGACCAGAGAACGCGCACGAA